rnacentral:sRNA from 1 species
UAGGUACUAAAAGUUUUAUUAUUUACUUAUCCCUCCUUCUAAGAAUUAUACAGGUAAUCCUUACCUUCAUAGGGGUAAAUAUUUCUAUGAAAUAAUAAUCAAUGUCAUCAAAAUUCUACUUACAGGUUCACUUAUAUUACAAAGUGAAUACACAUUUUUAGAUUUACACUACAAGUUUGCAGCAGCCUGCUACAAUCUGAACAUCAACCACCAAGCACUUGCUGCCACUAAGAAGAACCUUGAGUUGCCGAGCACUUUGAACAAAAUCCAUGCACACACUGCUAGACACUUUGUUCUAUUGCUUUGAUCUGAAUUCCACGUUUCAAAAUGGAUUUAUAAGCUGGAGUUCUUGACCAUUCAUCAAUUUCACUAGCACGUAGAACAGGCAGAGGAUGUGACAGUUGCCUUGUUUGUGCAUUCCUAAUCAGCAGCCAGAAGUUUAGCUUCUGAAUGGAAACAAAAUCCUAACAUAAUUUUCCAGUGCCCUAAACAAGACGCUACAAACCUUAUAUACCAUCCAACUGGGCUGGAAGCAGCUUUUUCAUAAGAGCGAGCUUGCUCCAGGAAUGCAUCCACAUUUAGCUGAUCAGCCAUAGAUGGACAUCCCCCGGCUAAUUUCAUGAGGACAGAGA